GCAUGCGCCGCCUUGUGCCAUCUGGCUCAUGUGGGUCCUGGGGAGUCAAACCGAAGUGCUUUGGCUUUGCAGGCAAGCGCCUUAACCGCUAAGCCAUCCCUCCAGCCCCCAGUUCCUCGUUUGAUUCAUGAUUUUGUUGUUUCCAGUCAGGAGUGGUCUACUGAAGAUGCUGGCAGAAAUCCUGAUACACGAAAAUCUUUUGUGUAGCUAGAACCUUUGUUUCUGAAAAUGCAUUUUGCUGAUUUAACUUGUGGACUCACCAUAUUGUACUACUGAAUUGGUCCCAUCUCUUUGCAAAUGAAGACCUCGGAAUCGUAAUUGCGGAUGAACUCAAUGUAUUCUCUUAGUCUACAAAUUUCCAGUGUCUAUAAAGGACACUAGGUGGGCAUCAGGGAAACAAGGCCCUAGAUUCAGUUUCUUAAAGCCUGGAACUUGGAUCUCCAGCCACCUGCCUGGAGGAGGUGUCACUGGGCACAGACCCUGGGUCCAGCCCUAAGAUGUCAGUUGAUCUGGAAUUGCAGCCCAAGUGGAACUUGAAAUGGCUGGUGGUACUGCUGGGAAGGACUCUGGAGAAGGCCAAGCCAGAGGGUUACCUGCUCAGACAGCUCACUUGCAGUUAGCGCCCCGUGGACUGUAUUUGUUGACACCUGAAAUCUAGGACAACCAGCUACGGAUAUGCGGGUGUGACUGCUAAAUACAGCACAGCAGUGCUGUCCUUGCCAUUGAGGUACUUACGUGGCAGGAAAUGGAUCAGAGACUUAAAGGUAGAGUGCGCUUCCCUCAAUCACUUGCAACUUGCUACUGGUUGAGAUGAACUGGACUCUCAUCAAGGCUACACAGCUGGUGGUGGUGUCAGGCAAUAUUCACAGACUUUAGCGGAGAAUGUCUGGAAGCAGUGACUGUGGUCCACCACGUGUAGAUAUCGUGCAACAUCAGUCAAAAGGCUGAACCCCUCAUGAAAAGAUGCCUCAAUCAGUAUUAUCUCAGGAUGCUAAAUAUUCUAGGCUUUUGUUUGUUCCUUGAGUCGCGUUUAACCCAGUCUGGCUGAACUCACUAUGUAGCCAAAGCUAGACUUGAAUACCUGAUCAUCUUGCUUCCACUGCUGGGGUUACAGGCAUGAGCCACUACACCUGUCAGGACUCUUAAACUCUAGCUUUUAAAUAUUUUAUUUAUUUGAGAGAAAGAGGUAGACAGAGAAUGGGCACACCAAGGCCUCCAGCCACUGCAAACAAACUCCAGAUGCAUGUGCCAUUUUAUGCACCUGGCUUUAUGUAGGUACCGGGGAACCAAACCCAGGUCCUUAGGUUUGCAGGCAAGCACCUUAACCACUGAGCCACUACUCCAGCUGUCCAUUAUUGGUGAUUCCAGAAGACUACUCUGCGAAAAAUACAAUUUUUGUUUUUUGUAAUUGAUUUAAACAAGUAGAAAGUUUAAUUAGCUUUCCAGUCAACCAAAUUUCUGUAUUACAGUCAUUCCCGUUUAAGCAUUAUCGUGGCUUCAAAGAAACCAUUCUGAACUAAUAAAUUUGAUGAGGUGACAGUUUUAUAAAAAUUGUUUGAAUUUUGUUUGGGUUUCCCACUCUAACCUAGGCUGACCUGGAACUCACUCUGUGCUCCCUCCCAGUCUGGCCUCAAACUCACAGCAAUCCUCCUACCUCUGUCUUUCAAAUGCUGGGAUUAAAAGUGUAUGUUGCCAUACCUGGCUUUUUGAAUUUUAAUGUGACAUAGAGAUUAUACUAACAAGCAUUUGGGUUUGUACAGAUUAUUCCACUUUGGAGAAUAAGUUCAAAAAAGAUCAUAUCCCUCACCCCUGCAAAAAAAAAAAAAAAAAAGGAAAGGUUUAAAUAAAGACCUAAAAUGUAGUUAUUAGAGGAGCCAGGCAUGAUGGCGCACACCUUUAAUCCCAGCACUUGGGAGGCAAAGGUGGGAGGAUCACCAUGAGUUCAAGCCCACCCAGAGACUAUGUGGUAAACUCCUGGUCAGCCUGA